rnacentral:hammerhead_ribozyme from 1 species
AUCUAGUCAAUGAGUCCCAAAUAGGACAAAACGCGCAUCCUAGAU